rnacentral:rRNA from 1 species
AUUGAACGCUGGCGGCAUGCCUUACACAUGCAAGUCGUACGGCAGCACGGGUGCUUGCACCUGGUGGCGAGUGGCGAACGGGUGAGUAAUACAUCGGAACAUGUCCUGUAGUGGGGGAUAGCCCGGCGAAAGCCGGAUUAAUACCGCAUACGAUCCACGGAUGAAAGCGGGGGACCUUCGGGCCUCGCGCUAUAGGGUUGGCCGAUGGCUGAUUAGCUAGUUGGUGGGGUAAAGGCCUACCAAGGCGACGAUCAGUAGCUGGUCUGAGAGGACGACCAGCCACACUGGGACUGAGACACGGCCCAGACUCCUACGGGAGGCAGCAGUGGGGAAUUUUGGACAAUGGGCGAAAGCCUGAUCCAGCAAUGCCGCGUGUGCGAAGAAGGCCUUCGGGUUGUAAAGCACUUUUGUCCGGAAAGAAAUCCUUGACUCUAAUACAGUCGGGGGAUGACGGUACCGGAAGAAUAAGCACCGGCUAACUACGUG